AUGGAGUCGACUCAUGCAUCUGAAGAAAAUAACUCAAAAGAGUCAUCUCCGGUAGAAAUCCCAGAAACUUGUGUGGACUCACCAACUCUGGAAGUCAGUAGCAAUGGUGUUCACGAAAAUAUCAAUGCAAACAUGGAAAAGUCAGCUCAAGCAGCCACAUCGGGUAUCUCUAAUGGCCUUCCAGUUGCUGCCGAUGAUUCGGAGUUAUCUUCACACUCAGAGGUAUUGGCAGAGUCUCAUCCUGAUGUAGCAGAGCAUGACGUGGAAUCAAAUUCCCCCACAGGGGCAGGUCCUGAAAUGCUCUCAAAUUCAGUACCAACUGAGAAAUCCAAACACUCGGUGAAGGGUCAGGCAGAUCAUUCUUCUUCAGUACAUCCCGUCGAGGUGAACCAUGUUGAAGACAAGGCACGUUUUCAGAGAAAAAUUGCUGUAAAACCAAAAGUGAUGGAAGAGUCAGAAGCAAAACCUGAAAGUCCAUAUAAAGGUCUUAUUGACACUGCUGCGCCUUUUGAGUCUGUGAGAGAAGCUGUCACCAAGUUUGGAGGAAUCGUUGAUUGGAAAGCUCACAAAGUUCAGAUGAUGGAGAGACGCAAGUUCAUACAGCUUGAACUUGAAAAUGCUCAGAAAGAAAUUCCAAAAUGCAAAGAAGAACUAGAAGCUGCAGAGAUGGCUAAAUCACAGGUACUUGAUGAACUAGAGACUACUAAGAGAAUUGUAGAAGAGCUGAAGCAUGAACUGGAGAAAGCACAGAUGGAAGAAGUUCAAGCAAAACAGGACUCUGAGCUUGCACAACUGAGGGUGCAAGAAAUUGAGCGGGGAGUAGCUGACGAUUCUAGUGUAAUAGCCAAGACUCAAAUGGAAGUCGCAAAAGAAAGACACGAAAAAUCUGUUGCCGAACUUAAAUCAGUAAAGGAGGAGCUGAGAACAUUACACGAAGAGUAUGCUAGCUUAGUCAAUGAAAGGGACAGAGCAAUCAAAAGGGCUGAAGAAGUGUUAGCCGCCGGGAAAGAUAUCGAGAAGCGAGUGGAGGGGCUGACUGUAGAACUGAUUGCAGCUAAAGGAUCUCUUGAGUUGGCCCAUGCUGCACAUCAUGAUGCUGAAGAACGUAGAAUCGGCGCAGUACUGGCGAAAGAGCAAGAUUGCCUUGCUUGGGAUAGAGAGUUGGUCCAGGCACAAGAGGAGGUGCAACAACUGAACAAUAAGCUUCUGUCCCAAAAUGAUUUGAAGAAGAAUCUUGAAGCAAAUUUGCGCAAGUUGCAUGGCCUCAAGUCUGAGCUUGCAGACUAUGUGGAGAGUAUACUGUGCAAAGAAGCUUUAGGGGUUGCCAAGGAGCAUGAGUCUGAAGAUGCUAGACAAAUUAGCAGCUCAAUUAAGGAAACUCUAGCUUCAACACAGAAAGAGCUCGAGGAGGUUAAAGCAAACAUAGAAAAUACAAAAACUGAGGCCAAAUUGUUAAGAGUUGCGGCGACAACUCUCAGAUCAGAGCUCGACAGGGAGAAAGCUUCACUUGACUCAUUGCAGCAGAGGGAAGUGAUGGCAUCAAUUGCAGUUUCUUCACUAGAAGCUGAGCUCAACAGGACUCAAAAAGAGAUAGAAUCUGUGAGAUCCAAGGAAGAAGAUGCCCAAGAGAAAAUGGUGGAGCUCCCUAAGAUGUUGCAGCAAGCAGCUCAGGAGGCCGAGGAUGCCAAGGACGCAGCUCAAGCAGCAGAAGAGGAGCUGAGAAAAGCCAAGGAAGAUACUGAGCAAACCAAAGCAGCUGCAACUACAACAAGCAGCAGGUUAUGUGCUGUUCUGAAGGAAAUAGAAGCAUCCAAAGCGUCCGAGAGGCUAGCACUUGCGGCAGUUCGAGCAUUGAAUGAAAGCAAAGAGGCCAGCGACGUCGAGGAUUCUCCCAGAGGAGUGACGCUUCCUAUAAGCGAGUAUUACGCCCUUAGCAAGAAAGCACAAGACGCUGAAGAACUGGCAAAUGAGAAGGUGACAGAAGCGCUGGCACAGGUAGAGUCCGUGAAAGGCUCUGAAUUAGAGAGCCUAGACAGGCUAACUGAAGCAACAAAGGAGAUGGAUGAAAAGAAGAGAACUCUUGAACUUGCAUUGGAGAGAGCCGAGAGGGCAAACGAGGGGAAACUCGCCGCUGAGCAGCAACUGAGGAAAUGGAGGUCUGACCAUGAGCAGCGCCGGAAAAUUCAGGAGGCCGCGAAGCGUGCGGUUAACCCCGUGAGUAGCCCAUUUGUCGAUCCUUACCUGAAAGAGCAGGAUUCACGGCUGCACAUGUCAGGCAGUAGCUACGAGGACCAUGUUCCGAACCGAAAGUUGCGAAAGAAAAAGUCGUUUCUCCCUCGAAUGGGCUCAUUUUUGUCGAGAAAUACCCCGGCACAAACAUAA
rnacentral:rRNA from 1 species